AGAGUUUGAUCCUGGCUCAGAAUGAACGUUGGCGGCGUGGAUUAGGCAUGCAAGUCGAGCGGGUGUAGCAAUACACCAGCGGCGGAAGGGACAGUAAUGUGUAGAUUAUCUGCCCUCGGGUCUGGGAUAGCCACGGGAAACUGUGGGUAAUACCAGAUAACAUCUGCGGAUCAAAGGUGUGAUUCCGCCCGGGGAUGAGUCUGCAUCCUAUUAGCUUGUUGGUAGGGUAACGGCCUACCAAGGCCAUGAUGGGUAGCAGGUGUGAGAGCACGACCUGCGUCACUGGGACUGAGACACUGCCCAGACACCUACGGGUGGCUGCAGUCGAGAAUCUUCGGCAAUGGGCGCAAGCCUGACCGAGCGACGCCGCGUGCGGGAUGAAGGCCUUCGGGUUGUAAACCGCUGUCAGAGGGGAGGAAAUGCAUGUGGGUUCUCCCACGUGUUUGACCUAUCCUCAGAGGAAGUACGGGCUAAGUUCGUGCCAGCAGCCGCGGUAAGACGAACCGUACGAACGUUAUUCGGAAUCACUGGGCUUAAAGGGUGCGUAGGCGGCGCAGAAAGUUGGGUGUGAAAUCCCUCGGCUUAACCGAGGAAUUGCGCCCAAAACUACUGUGCUCGAGGGAGGUAGAGGUGAGCGGAACUUAGGGUGGAGCGGUGAAAUGCGUUGAUAUCCUAAGGAACACCGGUGGCGAAAGCGGCUCACUGGACCUCUUCUGACGCUGAGGCACGAAAGCUAGGGUAGCAAACGGGAUUAGAUACCCCCGUAGUCC
rnacentral:rRNA from 1 species